rnacentral:rRNA from 1 species
AUUGCACGCUGGCGGCAGGCUUAACCCAUGCAAGUCGAACGAGUGGCGGACGGGUGAGUAAUGCUUGGGAAUCUAGCUUAUGGAGGGGGAUAACUACGGGAAACUGUAGCUAAUACCGCGUACCAUCAGAUGAACCCAUAUGGGAUUAGCUUGUAGGUGAGGUAACGGCUCACCUAGGCGACGAUCCCUAGCUGGUCUGAGAGGAUGGUCAGCCAAACUGGGACGGAGACACGGCCCAGACUCCUACGGGAGGCAGCAGUGGGGAAUAUUGCACAAUGGGCGCAAGCCUGAUGCAGCCAUGCCGCGUGUAUGAAGAAGGCCUUCGGGUUGUAAAGUUCUUUCGGUAGCGAGGCGUUAACUACAGAAGAAGCACCGGCUAACUCCGUGCCAGCAGCCGCGGUAAUAC